rnacentral:rRNA from 1 species
UACGUAGGGGGCAAGCGUUGUCCGGAUUUAGCUGGGCGUAAAGAGCGUGUAGGCGGCCAAGCAGGUCCGUUGGUGAAAACUGGAGGCUCAACCUUCAGACGUCGACCGAAACCAUCUGGCUAGAGUCCGGGAGAGGAGAGUGGAAUUCCUGGUGUAGCGGUGAAAUGCGCAGAUAUCAGGAGGAACACCGGUGGCGAAGGCGGUUCUCUGGGCCUUACCUGACGCUGAGGAGCGAAAGCGUGGGAGCAAACAGGAUUAGAACCCCG